CUGUUCUGGUGUUGGUCCGUUGGAAUACAGAGAAAACCAGCUAAAGCCCCAAAAUGGCUAUUUUGCACCUGCCUGCUGCCUCUCCUUCUGUUCCAGCUGUUUCCUGUUGUGCUUUCUUACUUUUGUUGCGCUGAUGAAUGAACAGAAAUGUCUUUGUGAGAUUAACAGCCCAGUUUUGCAGAUGUAUGAAGUUAGGAGACAUUUUUGAAAUAAAAGGGGAUCCUUCUGAGGAGCUCAGUUAACCAGAGGAGAUUAACUUUCUCCUCCAGUGGAAGCUCAGCAUGUUGGGGACUUGAUUUUUGGCGAUAUCGCUCAG